GAAAAACGACGAGAUGAGAAGAAGUUGCCACAUCUCAUGCUGAGCAGGUGAGCGCAUGGAAUGGCGGUAGGAGCAGUGCAAGGAUGGGUGGAGAAAUGCAAUUGGAGGGCAGUAUAUAAGGAGGAGGAGGAUAUGGUGUGAUGAUGGAUGGACCCGCGGAUCAAAGGCACUUCGGGCCCCACAAUUCAACCCAGCCAGCCAGCGAGAGCCUCCGCUAGCAGACGACGUCGUUCGCCUUACAGCGCUUUUGCUUUUUGCCCUUGUGCUUUUCAGAGGCGCCUUCUUCCUCAUUCAGCUAGUGGUCCUUCUGCUGGCUCCUUUUCUUUCUAUUCUUCUGCUUCAUCUUCCUGAGCCCAACCAAACCCGCUUCGCUGUAUGCGUUAUCCAGAUUCAUUUGCGAGCGAAAUCGAACACCAGUGUGUCCCCCGAAACUACGGCCGAGACAACGGAGACGACGAUGAUUGGUGAUGAUGGGAGGUGGUCCGAGUGGGAAAAAGAUAUUUCCUCUCUUGCAAACUUCAAUCGCCUGGUUUCCUUGAUUUGCGUGCUUGAGAAAGGGGCAGCACCCACCCAAUGAACGGAGGAGAGCGUCCCAUGGCGUCUGGCCCUGCAAAGCUUUGCGACGAUUUGUCCUCUCCCACCACCUCAACGUCACAGGACGACAACGCCGCAACGAACGACACUACCCCACCACACCACACUAAAACCUGACCCUAUCCUACCCUACCUUACCAUGCUAUACUAUACGAUGCUAGUGUAUGAAAUACAAUACGAAAGCAUAUCCGAUUUACGUUCAAGCUCACUCCUCUGGACCCUUUCACUGACCCCUCCCCUGGAUGUCUUAACCAUCCAUAACAAUACACAUCCAUCCUCUUUAUUCAUCCAUCCAUAUAGUGGUCUGCACCGGCAGCGUAACUAGCACAAUGCUCCACACUGGUGGCAGGAUCCGCCACGACACGUUGGAGUCCCAGGUUACUAGUUUUUCCUUAUAUCAGGCCAAGCUGGAUGAAUAACCCCCCCCCUCCCUCAUGUUCAGUUUCCGUAAGGCAAAUGGAGCUGUGAGCUACAUGUGCAUUCUUUUUGCUUCUUCAUGGUGUUUCAAUCAAUAUAUAUAUAUAUAUAUAUAUAUAUGUAUUUAUGUAUAAAUUAAAAUAAAUACAUGUUAUAUUUAGACAAAUAUUUUAUUAGAAAGGUAUUUAAUUAAAUAACUUACAUACAUCUUUAAUGAUAAAUUUUUAUUGUGAUUUGUUUUGAAUCAUCAUCUUGAAAAUUAAUUGAAUAGAAAACUUAGACAUACAUUAGUUUUAGGUGUAUGGUUAAUUAAACUAAUUGAUAAUUUUAUUUUUUAUUUUUUAUUAAAUUUGAUAUUAGAUUCUUUAAUAUUAUGCAUGAAUUUUUUAAAUUUUUAUAUGUUAAAAAAGUAUAAAAAUACUUAUAUAUAUAUAUAUAUAUAUUAAAAUUUUGGAAAUUUCAAAUAAUUUUACCAAAUUAUUUAUUUCAUCUUGUGUAAUAAGGCCAUUUCUUUAUUCAGGAACAUCUAUAUUAUUUUCAAAAAACUAUUUUUGGUAUUUUAGACAUUUAGAAGAUAUUUUAUUAAAUCAAAUACCACAAUUUGUAUCUAUUUUAUUUUAUUUUAUUUUUUAAAUCUUGUGUAUGAAAACUAAUUUUUUAAAAUUACAUCAUAUUGUAAUAGAUUCUUAAAAUAGACACAUCAAUCAAAUUCUGAAGCAGUCCUUAUUAGAAUGUAAACAUCAAUAAGAUUUUUUUAUGCAUUAUUCCCUAUUAGUUAAGUUUUUGAACAUUAUGUAUUCAUCAAAGAAAAUUUCAACGUUUCUAAAAACUAGUCAUCAUUCUUAAUCAAAUUUAUCUAAAUUAACAAUGUUAGAAACUUUACAACAAAAUAUUUAGAGCAUUUUUUUACUACUAGUUAAAAGAAGUAUAUAGUUAAUUCACAAGGAGUAAUAAAAUUAUAGAACCUAACGGAAAAUUUAAAGUAAAUUUAAAGUAAGAAACUUAAUUUCUCUAAGUAAAGAAAUAAAUAUAAAUAGGCAAAAAAAAUUACCAUUAAAGAUUUAGAAUCUAUUAAGGAUUAAAAUUGACCAUUAAAAUUUUACUUGCAAUCAUAAGUGUUAAAAAAUCUAAAAAUUAUAAUAUUUCAAAUCUUAUUUUUGUCUUAUUUUUAAUCUAGCCAUAACUAAUUUUAAAUUUUAAAAAAUAAUAUAUGUAUAUAUAUGUAUGUAUAUGUAUAUAUAUAUAUAUAUAUAUAUAUAUAUAUAUUAAAAUUAGAUAAAAUAUCUUAAUAUGUUUUAAACUACAUAUUUUUUUAUAAAAGAUACAAAAAAAUGGUUAUAUAAAUUAGUACAAGUAACAUAUUAGUUAUUUAUUUAUACAUUAUUUUUUAUAAUUUCAAAAUAUAAAAGAAUUAAAAUUUAAGUAAUAUUAUUAUAGUUGAAUAGAAAAGACAUUAAUAAUUUAUUUAUUUUAUAAUUUUAAAAUAUUAUUUAAAAAUAUUAAUAAAAAAAUUAAUUAUACAAUUUUUUAAAAAAAAACUUGAAAUAAAAAAUAAAAAUAAUUUUAAACUAUUUUUAAAUUAAAUAAAUAUUAUAUUAAUAUAAACUUAUUACAAAAAGAUUAACUCUAAAAAUAUUAAAUAAGAAAGAAUAGUAGGUUAUCCAAUCAUCUCCUAAUUUAGAUUAUAAUUAUGUUUUAGCUUCAAAAAUAAAAACCAAAAAAAUCAAUUUAUAAGGUGAAUAUAUUUUAUUUCAAAGUUCUUUGGAUCAUACAAUGCAUCAAAAAAACAUAAUUCUAGCAUAGACCAAGAUGGUCCUUGUUAUAUAGAAUGAGAAUUAUUAUACAAAGUUAUAAAUCUUUUUAUAAUCUAUCUUAAGAUCACUAUACCACAUCAAACUCUAAGGUCAAUUACAAUAUUUAGACUCAAAUCUUCGAAAAAAACUUUCAAGAUUACAAUACAUAAGUUUUAUUCAAAAAGAUUUAAUCCUAGCUUAAUCAAUUUAAAGAUUAUAAAUAAGAAGAUUAAAAAAUUAAAGUAAAGAUUUUUUAAGACAAUUUGGCAAUAGCAAUAUAUAGGAUUGUUUUUAAAGUAUUCAAGAUAUAAUACCUAAAAUAUAAUUUCAUAGAAUUACAAAAACUUUGAGCUAUAUUACAAAAACAAAAAAUGAAUUUAAAAAUAUUUGUCUCAAUUAUUACUCUCACUUGUGGAAAAAAAAAAAAAAAAAAAAAAAAAAAAAAAGGAUCUUUGAAGCAAAUGAAGCAUGCAUUUAUCUUUUAAAUAAUAUCUUAUGUAAAGCUAUUGUCAAGGACAAAGACUCGAUGAGGGAAAAUAUACACCAAAAGGCUAUCUCGAUAUAAUAAGUCAAAAUAUAAACAAGUAGGUAUAUUAAAAGAAAACUGGAAUGGCUAUUGCCACAAGACAAGAAACUAAAGACUCUUGAACCUGAACUAGAAGCAAGAAAGGAGUUGACAAGAGUGAAGAAGCCUUCACUCUUAUCUCUAUAUAUACUAUCUAACUAGGGGCUACGUGGCGACGUUCUAUAGGACCUCCAAUAUGUGUUGACUUUGUAGGACACAUGCCUUGACUUACAAGGCAAGUUUUUCUACGUGUGGGCCACAUAGUUAGCUUGAUCUUCAAGCUAACAACAUGUGUGGCACAUGGCCAACUUGUUGACCACGUUUCUAAUCCAAAAAGUCAAUUAAAGACACCUAUGAAGUCAAAGCAACGUCUAGGAAGUUUCUAGGAAGCUUCUAUAUUAAAUAUUAUAGAAUUAAUUUACAUUUAUCUACUUUUACUUACUUCUACCUAUUUCUAUAUGUAAUUAUUAGCUUACAUGAUUAUGGCCCUGACAUUACCCCCCCUUCUAGAGACGAGUUCCACGAGGAGCGGUCAUCAUAUGUUGAGGAAAUCUAUGAUGCGACGAAUUAUAUUCGCCACAUACUCUGAUCUCUGCUCUCUUCGAAGAUGAUUGAUAGGGCCUCUCAACCAUCGGUAGUGUCCCAUACUAGGGUGGGAAGACCACCCAGUUAUUUGAUCAUUGUUGAGGCCUUCGUAACUUCCUUCGAAUAGAAUAUUUGGAACACCAUCAGGAGUUGUUCCUACCUCUAGCAAAAUCACCAAACAUCGAGAGUCCCUUCCCAAAUCGUGAUACUAAACGCAUUGUAUCUCACCAUCUGUUCAAAGAAGAACAUGUCGUUCUUGAAGAUCUUCAUCUCGAUUGCGUCAUCUUAAAGGUUGUGACAAUCGUAAUGUCUCGUCCAGCAGGUCAGCAAACGAAGGUUCUUGAAUUGAAUCUGCUGGUUGUUGGCUCUCCAUCUAAUUAGCAUCACAAAUGCAAAGAAGUUACAAACAAGGAUAGAAAAUUGAAUGUUAUCUUGCUUCAAUCUUGUCUCUUUUAUAAGAGAGAUUUUCAUCUUGAUUUUGAUGGAUGUCAUUGAUGAAAAACUUUGACUUUAGCUGAUGCAUUUGCUAGAUUCCUGGAUGGCUCCCAUGUGCGUUCACUAAUAUCAUAUCCGCGCCAAUGAACAAGAUAUUCCAGCUUAUUUCGGCGCCGCCUUGAGUCUAAUAUCUCUUCCACCUCAAAUUCUUCAUUAUUAUCUACUUCUAUAGGAGGCGGUGGCAUUUGUCUUCUUCCUUGUAUAUCCACUGUCUUAUAUAGUUCAAGAAGAGACACGUGGAAUACAGGAUGGAUCUUCAUUGACUCCGAUAGAUGUAACCGAUAUGCAACUGGGUUGAUCUGUUCAGAAACAGAAAAGGGGCCAAGCCUACGAUAGUCCAACUUAUCACAAGGUCGAGUAGUCUUGAUAUUGCGACGAAGUAGCCAUACCUUAUCACCCACGUUGAUUUAUGGUUGCUCCUUACGAUAUAGAUCUACAUUUAUCUUUUGUCGUUCUUGAGCUUCCUUCAAUUGCGUCUUCAUUAUUGCAUGUAACUCUGACAACCGAUUUGCCAUAUCUUCUGCUGCAGGAUUAUCAACUUUUGAAAAAUCAAAAGUAUCAAGUCGUGGAUGAUAGCCAUAAUUGGCAAAGAAAGGUGUUUGUUGCGUGGAAGAAUGUACUGUAUUAUUGUAAGUAAUCUCUACCAAUGGCAGAAGGGUUGUCCAAUCAUCUUGUUCGUAGUUGAUAGUACACCUUAAAUAUUGCUCCAAGACUUGGUUUACGCGCUCUGUUUGUCCAUCAGUUUGAGGGUGGAAAGCCGAAGAUAGCUUUAUGUCCACUUUCAAAAUCUUGAAAAGGGUCCUCCAAAAUCUUGACACAAAUUGAGUUCCCCUAUCUGAUAUGAUAUCUUUAGGUAAUCCAUGAUAGCGAUAGAUAUUAUCAAUGAAAAGCUUAGCUGUUUCUUCACCUGUGAUAGAUUUUGUACAUGGCACAAAAUGUGCCAUCUUGGUGAAACGAUCUACUAUCACAAAUAUAGAAUCAUAAGAUCUUGAGCUUAGAAGAUCUAUGAUGAAAUCCAUAGAAACAGAAGACCAUGGUUGUUCUGGUAUAGGUAAUGGCUGAAGAAGUCCGUAAGGUCGAUGACGAGGAAUUUUUGAUCUUGAACAAAUAUCACAUGAUUGUACAAAGUCUUUGACUGACUUCCACAUUUGUGGCCACCAAAAAUCUCUUGAUAUGAGUUCCAAAGUCUUAUUAUAUCCAAAGUGCCCUGCUGCUGGAAAGUCAUGACGUGCUUGAAGAACACGUAAACGUGCUUCUCCUUCUGGAACAUAUAGGCGUCCUUCAAAAUAUAAUAGAUUAUUCUUGAACUCGAACUUAGAAGGAUCAUGAGAAUUGGAAGAAUUAUUCUCGAUAUCAUAAACAAGAGGGUCUGAGGACAUACUAGAUUGGAUUUGCUUGAGAAAAGUUGAAUCAAUAGUCAAUGUUGAUUUCAUUGCUCGGAGAUGAAAUUGCUCCGGUUUCAAGAGGACCGUUCUUUGUUGCUCAAAAGCUGCAUCUCCUUCUUUUGGUGCAAAAUAAGAACGUCUAGAUAGGGCAUCAGACAAACCUUAUUGUUUUCGUGGCCGAUAAGUGAUAAUGAACUCGAAUCUUGACAAAGACAUACUCCAACGAGCUUGACGACGAUUCAACACGCGUGUUGACAUGAAAUACUCGAGGUUCUUGUGAUCUGUAUACACAGUGACUGGACUAGAAGCGCCUUCUAGAUAAUGACGCCAUUCUUGAAAGGAAUCCACGAUCGCAAGAAGUUCUUUAUCGUGGAUCUCAUAAUUGAUCUCGGCUGCUGAGAAUUUUCUUGAAUGAAAAGCUAUCAGAUGAAGUUUGUCAUCUGUUCCCAUUUGUGAUAAAACUGCACCCAAGGCAAAAUCUGAUGCAUCUGUUUCCAUAAAAAAUGCCUUGGAAAAAUCAACACGAUAUAAGACUGGUGCAGAGACAAACGAUGUCUUCAAGGCUUCAAAUGCUGCUUCCGCUUCUUGAUUCCAUUGGAAUUUAUCUUUACUAGUCAAGCGUGUAAGUGGAGCUGCAACUCGUGAGAAGUCUUUGAUGAAGAUCCGAUAGUAAUUGGCAAAUCCCAAGAAACAUUGGACAUCUCUUACUGUCCUUGGAAUCUUCCAAUCCAUGAUUGUUUGGACUUUCUUAGAAUCCAUCAUGAGACCAUCAUUUGAAAUGAUGUAUCCUAAAAAUUCAACUUGAGUAGUGUGAAAUACACACUUUUCCAUCUUGGCGUAUAAUCCUACAUCUCUAAGUUUUUGUAAUACUUGACGAACAUGUAUUUCAUGUUCUUCGACGUUCUUAGAAUAGAUCAGGAUAUCGUCUAGAUAGCAGACGACAAAAUUGUCUAAGAAUUCACGAAAUACAUCAUUCAUGAGAUGUUGAAAAGCAGUUGGUGCAUUCGUGAGUCCAAAGGGCAUGACAUUAUAUUCGAAAUGUCCAUACCUGGUUCGAAACGCAGUCUUCCAUUCACCUCCUUCUUUGAUCCGUACUAGAUUAUAUGCUCCUCUUAGAUCUAUUUUCGUAUAGAUCUUAGCUUGAUUCAACUGGUCAAGGAGUCCUGAUAUCAAAGGUAAUGGAUACUUGUUCUUGAUUGUGAUCUUGUUGAGUCCUCGAUAAUCAACACACAUUCGUAAAGAUCCAUCUUUUUUCUUUACGAAUAGAAUUGGAGCUCCUGCUGGAGAUUUUGAAUGGCGUAUGAAAUUCUUCGCUAAAUUCUCGUCAAUAUAUGUCUUGAGUUCAGCCAUCUCAUCUUGCGAUAAACUGUAAAUUGGUCCAAAUGGUGGCUGAGUUCCUUCCUUGAGGUCGAUUGAACAAUCAUAUAGGCGAUGCUCAGGAAGAAUAUCUGCAUUCUUUUUCUCAAAAACGUCUUGAUACUCCUAAUAUUGACUUAGAAUGCCAAUUAAAGUCUUUACGUUUUCAAAAAUAGGUGCAGCAUAAAUAGCAAAAGUUGAUCCUUCUUUUGUUGCGUGUAUAAAUGCUUUUGCACCUAUCAGUACGGGUUUUACUAUACUAGACUUAUAAUUUUUUACUUGGUUGGUAGAACUAUUAAUAACGCUUGGGGAAAAGUCAAGUUUGCGUGAAUUCCAAUCUAUUCGAGGGUUAUAUUUUUCUAGCCAGGAUAAACCUAAAAUAACUGGAUUGGACGGGGAUUUAAUUAUAUUAAAAGCUAUGUAGCUAUCAUGACCGUCUAUUGUUACUUUUAUAGGAUGAGUUUCAUGAGUGACAUCUCUAGAAGACAAGGGACGACCAUCUAUGACUUCUACAUGUACUGGUUUAGGUUUCUGUACAAAGGGUAUUUUACGACUUUUAAGAAAUUGUUCAUCUAAAAAACAUGCUGAGGCUCCCGAAUCUAAUAAAGCAGAGGCUUUGUAAUUCUUAGGUCCUAAAUAUAAGUCUAUUAUAAAACAAGGAGAGGGUUCUGAGGAGAGGAUAGGACCUUCAUUAGGAAUUGUACAAGGUUCCAACUGCACGAUCCCUAUUGUAGCUGGACGAAUCCGUUUUCCGACAUGUUGUCUUCUUUGACCGUCGUACCCCUCAUUUUAUAGUUGCGUCGUUUCUUUGGACAAUGUUGAGCAGUGUGCUUAGGUUUUCCACAAUAUAAACAUAAUCCUUCUUGACAACGACGAAUCUUUUCUUGCUCAGUUAGGAGUUUAAAAUGUACCGCGUCAAUUUGCAUGUCUUCUACUACUGAAUGUACGUUUGGCAAAGAUGUUGAUGUUGCCAUUGAGUAAUAACGUUGAGGUUCCCGUGAAUGAUUCUCGGAUCGAAAUUCGAAAAGUCGAUUAUUACAUUUUACCGCAAAAUCGAUUGCUUGACUCAAAGUUUGAGGAUCAGGUAAGUUGAGCAUCAAUUUCUUUACUUCGUAUUGCAAUCCAUAAAGAAAUUGACUGAUGAGUGCAGCAUCAUCCCACUUGAUGUCAAUUGCAAGUUGUCGAAAUUGUGAAGCAUACACUGUUACUGAACGAUUUCCUUGUCGCAGAAUUCGGAUCUUAUUUGUUGCAACAUGAGUUGCAUCGUGUUCACCAUACAUAGAUCGAAAAUCCGCCAAAAAAGCUUCCAAAUUUUCCAAUAUUGGAUUUCGUUGUUCAAGAAAAGACGAAAACCACGAUAAUGCAGAACCAGAAAGUAGAGUGUCAAUAAACCUGACUUGUGAUCCUGGAGUUGGAUAGCUUUGCGGUUCAAGUUCAAUUGCCAAUUGUACUUGAUUGAUGAACCCUCAAAACUUUGAUCUCGUACCAUCAAAUUUCUCAGGUAAGGUAAUUCUUGGUUCUCUAGUGCUUAUAGGGUGUUGUACAAUCGGAGAAGGAACGUGAUUUGUUGUAGAUGUUGAAGCAGCUCCGAUCGUCUCUAUAUCUCCACUUUCUGCUAUUCUUGUUCUUUCCUGUAUUGGUGAAUUGAGUUGAUGCAUCGCAAGCAUUAACUCCCUCAUUUGCUCUUGCAUUUGUGCCAUUGCACUCUUCAUUUCAACAAGCUCUGCCAUAAUGACACUAAGAAGAAAAAUUUGUUUGAUAUUGCUCAAGACAAAAGAAAAGAAAGACUUGAUAACAAAGAAGAUACUAAGAACAAUAUCAGUUUAGAAGUGGGUAAUCCGCAAACUUCUAAUACGCUUAUGUCUUGUCAAGAGAAAGGGGUAAUCCACUCUUACUCAAGAAAAAAUAAAGCUCUGAUAUUGUAAAAGUACUCUUGUCAAUCUGUCAAAGACAAAGACUCGAUGAGGGAAAAUAUACACCAAAAGGCUAUCUCGAUAUAAUAAGUCAAAAUAUAAACAAGUAGGUAUAUUAAAAGAAAACUGGAAUGGCUAUUGCCACAAGACAAGAAACUAAAGACUCUUGAACCUGGACUAGAAGCAAGAAAGGAGUUGACAAGAGUGAAGAAGCCUUCACUCUUAUCUCUAUAUAUACUAUCUAACUAGGGGCUACGUGGCGACGUUCUAUAGGACCUCCAAUAUGUGUUGACUUUGUAGGACACAUGCCUUGACUUACAAGGCAAGUUUUUCUACGUGUGGGCCACAUAGUUAGCUUGAUCUUCAAGCUAACAACAUGUGUGGCACAUGGCCAACUUGUUGACCACGUUUCUAAUCCAAAAAGUCAAUUAAAGACACCUAUGAAGUCAAAGCAACGUCUAGGAAGUUUCUAGGAAGCUUCUAUAUUAAAUAUUAUAGAAUUAACUUACUUUUAUCUACUUUUACUUACUUCUACCUAUUUCUAUAUGUAAUUAUUAGCUUACAUGAUUAUGGCCAUAACAGCUAUUGAUUGGAUGCACAAUAAAUUAUCUAUGCCUCUUUAUUUUUACAAACUUGAAGAAACUAAAUAUAAAUUGAUGAAAGGUAAGGUACUUCAUCUAGAUGACAUCAAGAUUUGAUUUUUACAAACAUUUUAACAAAUCAUUAGAGAAGACUAUGUUGCAAUGGUCAAUAUAUCUUUAAUAAAAGGUCACUUUUUAAAAGUAUUAUUAAGAUUGUAUAAUCCUAUUAUAUAAAGAAGAUGAAUUUAUUUUUUCUUUUUCUUUUUUCUUUUAUAGAAGUAACUAAUUAUGGCAAAAAAAUCUCUCUUUUGUUUAAAUGUCUACACAAGUUAUAGUCAUUGUUAAGAGGAUUUUGCUUGUAGACUAUUUAUAUUUAUAGAAACAAAUAUUUCUUUAAAAAUGAAGUGCAUAGAAUGACAUCCAUAUUAGAAGCAUGAUUUUGAGUAGGUUAAUAGAAAAUGGACAAAUUAGUUAGUUAAUUAAUUCAUAAAACAAAAUAAAAUAAAAUAAAAAACAUCUUAAACAUCUUAAAUAUGAAACUACUCUUUCUAUAAAUUAAGACAAAAUUUUAAUAAAAAAAUCACCUAAUUGGUACUAGAAUGCAUAAGAUAACUAAAUAGAAAUUUAGAAUACCACAAAGAGGCUUCAUAAUAUAAAAAAGUAUUAAAAAUUAGAAAAUAAUAGAUUAGUAGUUACUUUAUAUAAUAAUCUUAACUUUCUCUUCUUAAGUAUUGAAAGUUAAGAUAUUAUUUUUGCUUAUAUUUCACUCUAUUAAUAAAUUGGAUAUAUAUUUUUUCAAUAAAUUUUUUAAUUAAUUAAAUAAUUGAAUUUUCAAGUUUUUUGAAAAUUUCUUCAACUUGAUAAAAAAAAUUACUUAAGCUUCAAACUAAAAUAAUAAAAAAUAAAAAAUUUAAGACUUUUAUUAUGUUUCAUUUUUAGAUUAUUAAAAAGAAAUCCACUGAGAAAAAAAAAAUAUAUAUAUAUAUAUAUCAUUUAAUUAUUUUUUAUAUUCGUACAUUAAAAGUAAAAAACACAACUAAACAACAAAAUAUAUACAAUGACACUUUGUAUUAUAAAAAAAUUAACAAGUAUGCCUUAAAUUAUUUAUGAUUGAUAAACAUGACAAUAAAAGAUAAUCUUAUUUUACUUCUGAAGUUACACUCAUUUUUCAAAUUUGAAUGUAAAAACUACAAUUAAAAAUUAUUCUAUGAAGAAAAAUACAUUUAACAAUCAGGGUAUUUUAUAGAACAUCUACAUUGAAAAAUGACAUAGUAAAUUAGAAAUUAGUCUUUGUAAAAACAGACUUUUCACCUAUCAUCUUAAGUAGCAUGAAAUAGUCAGUUAUAAAACAAAAUAUUUUUCAUGACAAGAGAUUAAUUUAAAAUGUUUAAAUACAUCUGUUAAUGCAAGAGACAAAAUUUCCAUACAAUGUAACUCAAACGCUUGAAUUUUAUGCCAACAUUGAAUCCCAAGCAUACUUGAUUUUCAAGCUUUUCAAAACUUUCUUUCAUAUCUUUUUUGUUAUUAUAUAUAUAUAUAUAUAUAUAUAUAUAUAUAGUAUUGUUCAUUUUAAUUGUUUCCAUCAAGGUUAUCAUUCAAGGCAAAAGUGGAGAGCAAGACACCUGUGCUGUGUAAUGCCUCUAACUUUUUCUUUGCUCCAAAUCACAUACAUCUGCAAAGAAUGUGGAAUGAUAUAAGUGGUAGGUGGAUAUACUUUCCACCCAAAACAUAAAAAGAAUAAAAUAAAAUAAACUUAAAAAAAUAAAAGGGAGUGGCAAGGAAGUCACACUUAGAAUCAUUAGAAUGCUAGUGUUUGGAUCCAAGACAACACAUUAUGAUGCUCUACCACUUUUCUAGCUAUCUCCAUUUUGUCCACAGAAGAAGGCACUUUGUUUGUUUCUUCUCUUUUUUUUUAAUUUUUAAUUUUAAUUUUCUUCCUACAACACGGCCACACUCUCUCUCUCUCUCUCUCUCUCUCUCCCCUCACAAUGAAUAACUAAAUUCCCAAAUCAAAAGGGCUACAGAAGAGGGCAAAAAAUGAUAGUCAUGGAAAGGAGACCCUUGUUAUUAAAUUGCCAUGGAAAGGGGAUUUUGUUCCUUGUGUUUUGGGUAGGAGCUUUAGCAAUGGCCCUCUGAGAAGGAGAAAAGGAACAAUGUGAAGAAGGGGAUUGCAUAUUCACAUCACCAUUCUUGUCUUUUGGGUGUCCCUUGUGAGACAUUUUGGAAGCUUGCUUGUUGUUGACACCUGCUCCAAUGUUGGAUUAUUAGGCAAUGCACCAAGAAAAGUACCCAUAAAAAAGUGGCUUUUCAACCCCCCCUCCCCCAUUUUGUGCACCUUUUGGAUUCCUUUUAUAUCAUGUUUUUUAAUAAAUUAAAAUUGUCUGUUGCUUGUUUUAAUGAGUUUGCACAAACAACAAGGCAUAAAAAGCCCACAUUUGAGCAAACAUGAUGAGAUUUUUCAUACAUAUAUAUAUAUUGUGGGAGGUUGAAUGCUUGCAAUCACUUGCCCUGCAUUCUCCAUGAAUUCAGUUCCUCCGUGUAGACUUGCAGGAUAAGAUUCAACUUUGAAAAGGCACGUGAUACUAACCAUCCUUUCGUUCAUUCAUUGCAUCGUUGUUUUUGAUAUAAUAGAUGGUUUGAAUCUCACAAAGUGUAUUUGUAAACUGGGGUUUCUUUCUGCAUUCCACCAACACAAACAGGAAAAAGAAAAAGAAAUACAAGGAAAGAAAAAGAAAAUGAUACCAAGUUCGAAGUUACUCGAGGUGAAGAUAAAAUAAAAUAAAACAGAAGGUGAGUGCAUGGUUGGUCAUCCAAUUAGAACAUGUUCCCCAUGGUUCCCCAAGUGUGAGGCUCUUGAGCCCUUAAGCAAAGGGACAAUGGAGAGGCACCACUUGGAAGUCUGCAGGCUCAGGCUUUGAGAACUUUGGGAACUUUGGGGAACAGAAAAAAAGCUGUUCCACAGUGGCAGAGUCGUUGCCCAAUCCCAGCGCUCCGUCCACCACAACUAAAAGCCCUAAACCCUAUUGGCCACCCUCAAAAAGCUGCAUUUUCUAUGUAUUUAUUUUUGGUAUAUUUUAUUUUUGGAUAACCAAAACAAAUAAAAUCAUCUCCUUUAUGAAUCAAAAGUAACAUGGUUGAAUAGGUAGAUGUGAGAUCAUCAAACAAGUUCACAUGAAGAGUGAGUUUCAUGUGGAGGAAUGUCUGCUCUAUCCUCGAACUUUGGGUUUGUGUGAAAGUGGCCUUUGUCUCAUAAUACAAAUAUUUCCAUAACCAGCUUGGAUCAUUCAUAAAAGUUGGCGCAUCAGUGUACAUUGGCUUCUAAAAAAACCCAGUAAUGCAGCUGACUCAUUGUCAACUGCCCCCAAUUUCUAUGGGGUACUUCUAUUGUCAACCAAUUUGGACAUUUUUGUGGUUUGAAAUAGGUCAGGACAUUUUUGUUUUUGUUUUGUUUUUUGUUUGUUUGUUAUUUUUUUAAUUUUUUAAUUUUCUACUGGAUAUAUGCCGAAAUGCUUAAGUUAUUGAAAAUGGGUUGUCUACCUUAAACAAAACCCACAAGGCUCAUUGGUGGUAGAACAUGGGAUCCUUAUCUUUAGAGUUAGAGUCCUGGUCCACACAACAAAGCAUGGGGUUUGUGUUGGAUUUUUUUACUUUGGAUAAGAGAAAAAUGCCUGCCUAGUCAAAUCUGAUGAACAAAGAAAAUGGACUUAAGUGUGUGUGUAUAUUAUCAUAGAUAUUCAUACACAUGCAUACACUUUACUUUACAAGCUGAUUAACUUUUAUGCAACAUUCUCGAUGGCCAGAGAAAAGGAGGAAUUUUUGUUCUUCUGGUCAUGAGAAGUUAGAUACUGAAACGAGGGACAGGGGAGCCACACACUCGUCAUGUAUUAUAAAAUUUGAAAAAGAGUGAUAAAUAAAUGAGUAAACAAAGAAAAUGAAAAACAAAGAAUGGAAAUAAAAAGGGGGGGGGGAGGGGCAGGAACAAAGUGGAAACAAAACCUGUGGCAGAAAAAGAGACACAUGUGGAAUAAAACAAUAACCAAAAGGGGGGUGUUAAAAAGCUGUUGGAUGAUUGGUAACUGCUGCAGGGAAACUCAUUAAUGGCUGUGUGGGUCUGAUGAAGAAGGUCUUGAUAUCCACUUGAGAAUGUUGUGCUUCAAAAGCCUUUUGCAAUAGGUUUGCCCCAUCGUCAGCUUUUUCUAUAAAAAGUGGUGAAAGGAUUUUCUGUUUGAAUAAAGGUGAGUUUCAGAUUGGCUUGUUAUGCCCACAGAAAUUGCUGUCAAAUGAGCUUCCUUGUCAGGAAAAAGAAGAAGAAGAAGAAGAAACAAUAACAGUUAAAAUAUUAAAUAUUAAAUUGGAAAAGACCCCAUUUUCUGCAGUGGGCACAACAGCACUUUUCUAUGUCAGGCAGCUCUCAAAAAUCUUCUCGAGGACUUUCUUUCUUUUCAUCUUAUUUUUUUUUCUGUUUUUUCACGCUACUUUUCACUGAGACUUCGCCUAAGACAUCCUUUGCAGGGAAAAAGAGAUGAUCAUAAUCUAUGGUUGGGAGCCAUCCACAUUGCCCAUUUGAAUGGUCUAUCGUGGGACAACCAGUCCCUCACAAUUAGAAGGGAAAAAAGAAAUAGACAAAGAUAUGACUUGUCUCUUUUGAGGGUUCAGCUCGUUGUCCAAUAAAGCACCUUUUAUUAGUAAAACGUUAACAGAAUCAAGCUCUUUUAAUAUUAAUAUUAUUAUUUAUCAGUUUUUCCUUUUAAAGCAUUGGAGUGCCAACUCUUGUGAAAUAUAGAAUUAGCAACCAAACAUUUGAUUUGGAUAAUGGUGGUGUAGAAACACGACACAGAAAGCAAUGAGUUAAUGUAGUCAAGUUAAUCCAAAUGUCAUGGUGUUGCUAUCUAAUUGUUUAAUAAUGUCCUCAGUAUAUACACAUAUUUAUAGCGCCAUACAAGUGGCAUUGAUGGAUGCGUGACAUACCUUGUGUCUAAAAUCUAGAAGGUUUUAUCCACAAUGACUCUUUAAAAAGGCCACUUCGCACACAAGUU
rnacentral:lncRNA from 1 species